GCUCAGUAACACGUGGAGAACGUGCCCUUAAGUGGGGGAUAAUCUCGGGAAAUUGAGGAUAAUACCCCAUAGAUCAUGGCAUCUGGAAUGAGUCAUGGUUGAAAGUUCCGGCGCUUUAGGAUCGGUCUGCGGCCUAUCAGGUAGUAGUGGGUGUAACGCACCCCCUAGCCAAUUACGGGUAUGGGCCUUGAGAGAGGGAGCCCAGAGUUGGAUUCUGAGACACGAAUCCAGGCCCUACGGGGCGCAGCAGUCGCGAAAACUUCACAAUGGGCGAAAGCCCGAUGAGGGAAUUCCUAGUGCUAGCACAUUUGUGUUAGCUUUUCCUUAGCGUAGAUAACUAGGGGAAUAAGGGCUGGGUAAGACGGGUGCCAGCCGCCGCGGUAAUACCCGCAGCCCGAGUGGUGGUCGAUUUUAUUGAGUCUAAAACGUUCGUAGCCGGUCUGAUAAAUCCUUGGGUAAAUCGGGAAGCUUAACUUUCCGACUUCCGAAGAGACUGUCAAACUUGGGACCGGGAGAGGCUAGAGGUACUUCUGGGGUAGGGGUAAAAUCCUGUAAUCCUAGAAGGACCACCGGUGGCGAAGGCGUCUAGCUAGAACGGAUCCGACGGUGAGGGACGAAGCCCUGGGUCGCAAACGGGAUUAGAUACCCCGGUAGUCCAGGGUGUAAACGCUGCAGACUUGGUGUUGGGGGCCCUUCGGGGGCGUCCAGUGCCGGAGAGAAGUUGUUAAGUCUGCUACUUGGGGAGUACGUCCGCAAGGAUGAAACUUAAAGGAAUUGGCGGGGGAGCAC
rnacentral:rRNA from 1 species